UUAAAUAGCCGCAAUAAGUGCUAAGGUAGCAUAAUCAUUUGUCUUUUAAUUGAAGACUAGAACAAAAGAUUUAACAUUUUUAUUUAUAUUUUUAAAUUAAGAUUUCAAUUUCUCCAAAAAGUAAAAAGACUUUUAUUUUACAGAAAGACGACAAGACCCUAUUGAACUUAACUUUAGUUUAACUGGGGCAGUAAAAUAAUGAUCAUUUUAUUUAAAGUAAACAAAUUUAAAUCUAAUUUAGUUAAUUAAAUCAGUUACCAUAGGGAUAACAGCGUAAUUACAUUUUAAAGCCCUUAUUUAAAAAAUAGAUUACGACCUCGAUGUUGAAUUAAUAUUCUUCUUAAAGCAAAUUUUAAGCAAGAAAGUCUGUUCGACUUUUAAAAAAUUACAUGAUUUGAGUUCAGACCGGUGUAAGCCAGGUCGGUUUCUAUCUUCUAAACACUUUUAUAUAGUACGAAAGGACCUAUAAAUAUUUUAUAUAAAAUUGGCAGAUAAGUGCAUUAGAAUUAGAAUCUAAUUAUAAU
rnacentral:rRNA from 1 species